GAUCCUGGCUCAGGAUGAACGCUAGCUACAGGCUUAACACAUGCAAGUCGGAGGGGCAUCAGGAAGAAAGCUUGCUUUCUUUGCUGGCGACCGGCGCACGGGUGAGUAACACGUAUCCAACCUGCCCUUUACUCGGGGAUAGCCUUUCGAAAGAAAGAUUAAUACCCGAUAGCAUAAUGAUUCCGCAUGGUUUCAUUAUUAAAGGAUUCCGGUAAAGGAUGGGGAUGCGUUCCAUUAGGUUGUUGGUGAGGG
rnacentral:rRNA from 1 species